rnacentral:rRNA from 1 species
GACGAACGCUGGCGGCGUGCUUAACACAUGCAAGUCGAGCGGUAAGGCCCUUUCGGGGGUACACGAGCGGCGAACGGGUGAGUAACACGUGGGUGACCUGCCCUCAGCUCUGGGAUAAGCCUGGGAAACUGGGUCUAAUACUGGAUAUGACUCCACGGUGCAUGUCGUGGGGUGGAAAGCCUUGUGCGGCUGAGGAUGGGCCCGCGGCCUAUCAGCUUGUUGGUGGGGUGAUGGCCUACCAAGGCGACGACGGGUAGCCGGCCUGAGAGGAUGGCCAGCCACAUUGGGACUGAGACACGGCCCAGACUCCUACGGGAGGCAGCAGUGGGGAAUAUUGCGCAAUGGGCGAAAGCCUGACGCAAGCGACGCCGCGUGUGGGAUGACGG